CCGUGCUAAGUGGGGAGUUAGCGGUGCCUUGUACUUGCAAUCCGCUCAGCAAGACUGAAUUCCACUUGUGAGGGCAAUGUAAUGAAGACUGCCUUGACCGCACAAUGUUGACGUUCCGGUCCUACGCAAUAGAGCCUUAUGAACCAUGUCAGGUCCUGACGGAAGCAGCAUUAAGUAAGUCACUUUAUGUGCCGUAGGGUCGCCGGGAUUGAGUUGUUGCAUAGAGUAACGUUUGUUGCACUUCGCUCGAUCAAGUGGUGCACGG
rnacentral:SRP_RNA from 1 species